UACGGGAGGCAGCAGUGGGGAAUUUUCCGCAAUGGGCGCAAGCCUGACGGAGCAACGCCGCGUGAGGGAUGAAGGCCUCUGGGCUGUAAACCUCUUUUAUCAAGGAAGAAGAACUGACGGUACUUGAUGAAUAAGCCACGGCUAAUUCCGUGCCAGCAGCCGCGGUAAUACGGGAGUGGCAAGCGUUAUCCGGAAUUAUUGGGCGUAAAGCGUCCGCAGGCGGUUUUACAAGUCUGUCGUUAAAGCGUGGAGCUCAACUCCAUUUCAGCGAUGGAAACUGUAAGACUCGAGUGUGGUAGGGGCAGAGGGAAUUCCCGGUGUAGCGGUGAAAUGCGUAGAUAUCGGGAAGAACACCAGUGGCGAAAGCGCUCUGCUGGGCCAUAACUGACGCUCAUGGACGAAAGCCAGGGGAGCGAAAGGGAUUAGAUACCCCUGUAGUCCUGGCCGUAAACGAUGAACACUAGGUGUCGGGGGAAUCGACCCCCUCGGUGUCGUAGCCAACGCGUAAGUUCCCC
rnacentral:rRNA from 1 species